ensembl:lncRNA
CUUUAGUUUAGUAUCCAGUUAUAACACAUGACUUUAGUUUAGUAUCCAGUUAUAACACAUGACUUUAGUUUAGUAUCCAGUUAUAACACAUGAAUUGAGUUUAGUAUCCAGUUAUAACACAUGACUUUAGUUUAGUAUCCAGUUAUAACACAUGACUUUAGUUUAGUAUCCAGUUAUAACACAUGACUUUAGUUUAGUAUCCAGUUAUAACACAUGACUUGAGUUUAGUAUCCAGUUAUAACACAUGACUUGAGUUUAGUAUCCAGUUAUAACACAUGACUUUAGUUUAGUAUCCAGUUAUUACACAUGACUUUAGUUUAGUAUCCAGUUAUAACACAUGACUUUAGUUUAGUAUCCAGUUAUUACACAUGAAUUGAGUUUAGCAACAAAAGCACAUGUAUAGAACAUGUAUGGACAUGUGUUUCAGGGACUUCAGGAGAACAACACAACAGACAACAGACAACGGUUCUGCAGGUAGUGGAGAACAACACAACAGACAACACAGACAACGGUUCUGUAGGUAGUGGAGAACAACACAACAGACAACACAGACAACGGUUCUGUAGGUAGUGGAGAACAACACAACAGACAACACAGACAACGGUUCUGCAGGUAGUGGAGAACAACACAACAGACAACAGACAACGGUUCUGUAGGUAGUGGAGAACAACACAACAGACAACAGACAACGGUUCUGCAGGUAGUGGAGAACAACACAACAGACAACAGACAACGGUUCUGCAGGUAGUGGAGAACAACACAACAGACAACACAGACAACGGUUCUGUAGGUAGUGGAGAACAACACAACAGACAACACAGACAACGGUUCUGCAGGUACGACAUAUGAGUAGACAGUUUAAUAGAUCCUGUAUAUGCAAGCAUCAUAGCAUACCAGUGAUGAUACGGAAGGCAGUGGCAGGAAGAUCAGGUUAGAAACCUGCCCAGAUAAAUGGACUGAUUUGGUGUUCCUGUCUCCACUUGUCUCUUUAGUCUCUGCUAUUCCGAAAUGUCUGCAUGCUUUUCCAGCACUUUUUCAUGUCAACAUAGUUUAACACCAGAUUGCUGACUAACACCAAAAUGGUUAGUAUGGACAUAUUAGUCCUUGUGUGUAUCCUGUGGUCUGGGAAUUGGAGGGGUUAACACUUCCUGCCAAGCCACAUAUUUAAACUCUAUUCUUCAGUAGGUGCUACUCGAGAGCGGCGAGACUCAGAGCAAACAACUAGUAUUGUAAAGGGAUAAUCCCUAUGGAACACCUGCCAACAUCAUCUGUGUGCUUACAGUUGCUCAUAUUCCCUCUUUUUCUAAACGUGUUGGGAGAAUGACUCUUCAGUCACCGAUAUGUCACCGAUAUGACAUCACACUCUCCCUGGCGGCAGGGUAGCCUAGUGGUUAGAGCGUUGGACUAGUAACCGGAAGGUGGGUUCUGAUAUGCUAAAGAGAAGACCUGGCAACAUUCUCUAGUGGUUCUGAUAUGCUAAAGAGAACACCUGGCAACAUUCUCUAGUGGUUCUGAUAUGCUAAAGAGAACACCUGGCAACAUUCUCUAGUGGUUCUGAUAUGCUAAAGAGAACACC